UCCUAAUGCUGGGUAUGAAAAAUUACCAGCAGCUACGGAGACCACACCAGGUGCUGAUUUGGCAAGAAUAAAGUAUUACAGGAACUACUUGGCUCAUUUGGAUGAUAGUAAAAUAGACACAACAUUCUUCAGUACUGCCUGGACUGAUAUAACUGGUGCCAUUGAUAGAUUAGGAGGAUGUACAAUGAAAGACGAAUGCGAUCAGCUGAAAAACAAGCCUCUCGAUCAAUCAAGCAAAGAAAUCAUACGGUGUGAUGAUGAAAUAAAAGCAUUGAAAGAUUGAUUGAAAAGUUUGACGGAGGAUACAGUUAAAUGGAAUGUUAGAGCUCAGAUUAACAAAAUACUGGAAAAAUGGAAGGAGAGAGAUCAGGUGUUUGUUAACACAAGAGCUGCAACUCAAGUACUGAAGUAUUUAAAAGAGAACAGCUGUGUUACUAUAACGGCUAGUUCCGGUGUUGGGAAAACGGUAACUCUCCAAUAUGUUGCUUUACAAAUGGGUGCAGAUGGAUUCGACAUACUUUUAGUAACAGAUCCAGGGGACAUUGUCCAGUUUCACAAUCCAAAUAAGAAGACAUUGUUUGUAAUUGAUGAUUUAUGUGGAAAUUUUUCUUUAAACCUGUCUGAUCUAAAAAUUUGGGAACCCGUUAUUGAGCGUAUUAAAGACCUUCUUGAUAAUAAAAAAAUAAAAAUAAUUGUAGCAUGUAGAUUACAAGUGUACCAAGAUGAAAAAUUUGAAACAUUAUCAGUUUUUACGUCAUGUGUGUGUAACUUGUUGUCAGAAAAUAUGUGCUUAUCAAAAGCUGAAAAGCAAUCGAUUGCCGAGCUUUAUCUUGAUGAAAAAGCCUCUCAAAUUACAGAUUUUUAUGAUCUUUAUGAUUGUUUCCCACUCUUAUGUAAAUUAUAUCAUGAAAACC